rnacentral:rRNA from 1 species
GGGCCCGCACAAGCGGUGGAGCAUGUGGUUCAAUUCGACGCAACGCGAAGAACCUUACCUGGGCUAGACAACGGUGGACCGUCCUAGAAAUAGGAUUUUCCCUUCGGGGACUGCCGGUUCAGGUGCUGCAUGGCUGUCGUCAGCUCGUGCCGUGAGGUGUUGGGUUAAGUCCCGCAACGAGCGCAACCCUCGUCUUUAGUUGCCACCAUUCAGUUGGGCACUCUAGGGAGACUGCCGGCGUUAAGCCGGAGGAAGGUGGGGACGACGUCAAGUCAUCAUGGCCCUUAUGUCCAGGGCCACACACGUGCUACAAUGGGCGGUACAAAGGGUCGCAAACCCGCGAGGGGGAGCCAAUCCCAAAAAGCCGCUCUCAGUUCGGAUUGGAGUCUGCAACUCGACUCCAUGAAGUUGGAAUCGCUAGUAAUCGCGGAUCAGCACGCCGCGGUGAAUACGUUCCCGGGCCUU